rnacentral:lncRNA from 1 species
GGCGAGGUUAAACAUGUUUGUUUGUUACAUUUGUAUAUCCUGGCAACAUGAGGUCGUAAAGAUAAUUUUUUAAAAUUUAUUUAAUAUCGAGUAGAACUAUCUAAAACUACUAGUAAAUAUGAAUACUGACAAAAGUUCUGGCAUCACAUGGAAUAUCAAGUCAAGGUUAAGCAUCGAGACAAGAAUUUAUAACUCAUGCACGUCCUUGAACGGAACAAGAUCACAAGUUUAUAACUAAAUCAGUUAAGACUUUCCGCUGGGAACUUUUAACUUUUAAAAGUCCAUUUCCUUACAUUGAGCUAGUCGUGGGACUGAAGAAUCGAUCCCAUUUCGAUUUGAUUUUGAAAUAAUCGAUUGUUUGCGAAGAUUUUUUCAUCAAAAAUAACAUAAAUCAGAUGGUCGCUUCGUCUUGAACACAGCAUUCGGAAUGCUUUUUCCUUUCCUCGGAAUCAUUGUCACUGUUAGAAAUAUUCAAUUCUUUCAAGGUUUUGUCUGCAAUUUCUACAUGGUUCAUAUUCUCGAAAAUAUUCCACAAUGCAUUCCUUCUAAUGAUAUGUCCUUUUUGUCCAGUAAUGGCAGAAUUGUCUUUUUCAAUCAUAUCCAUAAUGAUCACUUGUAAGACGGACAUCCUAAUAUUGUUCAAUGUAACAGUCUUUUCACUACAAAGAUAUGUAAUAUUCUACUAUAUAUAUACUGGACUUACACUCCUUAUAUUUAUAUAGGUUCACAAUACGUAGGAUGUCUCCGCAUGUGAAAACAUAAUAUGUAUUAAUCACGGAUUUUAAAACUACGUACAAUAGAAGUAUUACUGAC